rnacentral:rRNA from 1 species
UGGGGAAUCUUGGACAAUGGGGGAAACCCUGAUCCAGCCAUGCCGCGUGAUCGAUGAAGGCCUUAGGGUUGUAAAGAUCUUUCAGCUGGGAAGAUAAUGACGGUACCAGCAGAAGAAGCCCCGGCUAACUCCGUGCCAGCAGCCGCGGUAAUACGGAGGGGGCUAGCGUUGUUCGGAAUUACUGGGCGUAAAGCGCACGUAGGCGGAUCAGUCAGUCAGGGGUGAAAUCCCGGGGCUCAACCCCGGAACUGCCUUUGAUACUGCUGGUCUUGAGGUCGAGAGAGGUGAGUGGAAUUCCGAGUGUAGAGGUGAAAUUCGUAGAUAUUCGGAGGAACACCAGUGGCGAAGGCGGCUCACUGGCUCGAUACUGACGCUGAGGUGCGAAAGCGUGGGGAGCAAACAGG